rnacentral:rRNA from 1 species
UGGGGAAUUUUGGACAAUGGGGGCAACCCUGAUCCAGCAAUGCCGCGUGUGUGAAGAAGGCCUUCGGGUUGUAAAGCACUUUUGUCAGGGAAGAAACGGUGAAGGCUAAUAUCCUUUGCUAAUGACGGUACCUGAAGAAUAAGGACCGGCUAACUACGUGCCAGCAGCCGCGGUAAUACGUAGGGUCCAAGCGUUAAUCGGAAUUACUGGGCGUAAAGCGUGCGCAGGCGGUUGUGUAAGUCAGAUGUGAAAUCCCCGGGCUUAACCUGGGAAUGGCAUUUGAGACUGCACGGCUAGAGUGUGUCAGAGGGGGGUAGAAUUCCACGUGUAGCAGUGAAAUGCGUAGAGAUGUGGAGGAAUACCGAUGGCGAAGGCAGCCCCCUGGGAUAACACUGACGCUCAUGCACGAAAGCGUGGGGAGCAAACA